UUCUGGAAAUGGCUCACAAACUUUCUCUUCUCAGUUUCGGAUCCCUGCAAUUCUUCAUUACCACAACAAUUCCUUUGUCAAUCAAUUAUCUUUUACUCCUUUCUUUAUGGUUUCUUUUCACCUCCCUAUUAUCUUUUCCUAUAAAAAUCGUUUCUUCCAAACUUUAAUUCGAAAAACCUCCACUAAUGAAGGUAAAGCUAUGGCCAUGAAAAAUAAAUAAUUCAGAGUCUGUUGCUCUUCCUCUACUCUUCAUACCCGGUAAUCAAACCCCACAGUAUUCAUAGCUAUAGAGAACGGCGAAAUCCACCGCCACAGCCCCGGCUCAAUUUAUAAGGAUGUGAUCGUUUACCAUCAAGUUUGCUUGCUUACAUGGUUGCAGCUUCAUAACUCGUGCCAUGUUUGUCAUACGAGUUCAUGACUCAUGGAGGUCAGACCAGUGGGGAAGACGGACAACGAACGGUUGAGAGUUCGCCGACGCCGAGGAGACAUGAUACGAAUUAGGAUUCUGGGAGUGGAUCUGAUAUCGAUACUACAUAAGAUGAAUUGGAUUGAGAAAUUCAUGGCAUACAAUGAAAUUCUCAAAACAUUUGAAGAUCAAGAGGAGUUAAAAGAGGUUUGACCUUCAAAUGCUAGCAAGAAGGCGGAUCAAUGGGUAGCUUUUCGAAUAUACUCUGUAGACAUUCCUUUUACCUGUUCUUCUCUCCAAUAUUUGUGUUGCCACUUGCCAGUGUUAACAAUGGUGGCUUCCCUAAUCCCACGUCUGUUAUUUUCUUCAACUAACAAAAUGUGUUUCAUGUAGCAUUUAAAGCACUGAAUUUUUCUCAGGGUUAUGGAAAUGGGGAAGAAGCUCGCAGAGAGGAUAAGGAGCAAAGGGCCUUAUAUUGUCCUGAGUGUAUCUAAUUGUGGCUUUGAAAAUUUAUUUUCUACACCGAAGAAAAGAAGAAGCCAGUGACUGUUUUAACGUUUUGUUGUCUUCUAAGCUCUGUAAAUGUUUAUAAAACUGGUGUUUGAUGAUUAUGUGCCUCACAUUGUUUUUAUUUUUAUGGAUAGGUUGAAUCCCAGCUCACUGAAUAAAAAAAAAAUACCCAACUCCGUAUUUUCGAAUGGUCUUACAUAACUGUCUCCACUGGGAUCAGUGGCCUUAUGCUACUGUCGAUAUACUACAGAUUCCACCAACGCCAUAUCUACAAAGCCAAAAAGGAGGAAGAUGAACAUGACGACUUGAAGCCAGCCUCUAUCGCUGGGGGUGGAAACUGCAGCAAAUCAUAGUAGACACUACAAGGUUGAAGCAAAAGAAGUUUUCUUUUCUGUUACAAAGCUUUCCCAAUCUAAAGACACUGGUUUGGGAGAGAACGGUUUACUUGACCAUAAAGGAACUUUCUCCAUCAGUUGCUAAGGUUCAUAGUUUGCAAUUUGCUUAGGUGGCUGAAUCCUAACACCAAUACUGAAGAAAAGAAGAGAAAGAAGAAAAACUUACAAGGCUAAAAGAUGUUAAGGGUCAUUAAAAGGAUAAAUCACUGCAAGAGCAUCAUUUCGAAGUAUUGGACUUAACGUGUGUUUUUUUUUUUUUAUCUUGGGAGUAUUCCUUAUGUACUGCUAUUAGAUUACAUUGAUAAGAUAAGAAAUGUAUUUCUUAAUUUGUUUUACCAGUGCCAACAAUCACAAAAUUAUAAUUUGUUCUUCUUCUUUCAGAUUCUAAUGAUUGGUUGUUAUUUGAGUUAUUGUGAUUUUCAGUAGGGAUGUUUAAAUGAAGAUAGAAUCUAACAAGUCAGUGUCGGAGGUUAAUAAUGAAAUUGAGAGUGAGGAUGGUAGUGAAUAAGUUUGUAGUUGAUCAUUUUAAAUUACGUUUUAUUGUGUAUAAUCAAAUUCAUGAUGAUAACGGUGACCAAGGUUGA